rnacentral:lncRNA from 1 species
GUGAGUUGCCCCAGCUUUAGCCCACCUACCAGCUCUACCUCCUCCAGGCUUUCCUGAUGGAUGGGUCAGGGAUGUUUCUCAUGCCCAUUCUGGGGAAAAGCAGCCCCUACUACCAUCUCCAAUUCAGCCCUCUCUCUUCAAGCAUCCAAGUCAGGAGCUCUGAUGUUCACUCCUACAGAAGAGUUGGAAUGCGCUGGCCAGGGCUUCCCUUGGCUAUUAAACUGUUUGGCUAGAGCACCACUUGCCUGCUUCUAAUUUGGGAUUGGUGGCACGUACCUGCCGCUUCUCGGAGGAUGGACGAGUCGAACCGGGCACAAGCAUGGAGCUGCGGGUACUCCGGGGCAACCGAUAUACACAGAGAACCACGUGGAGGAAACAGCACGCCAGUUUGGAGCGGUGGAGCACAAAAGAAGUGGACUGGAAUGUGACGCGACCGGGCAGCUGGAAGGUAUUGGAAUAGAGUAGUGUCAACGGAGAAGUCUCUGAACUUGAGCCCUGAACCGUAUCAACUUUCAGAUUUUAGGGAAGACUUAAUGUUCCUGUCCCGCUCCUUUCCACCGGAAUUGGGGGGAGGUCCAGUUCCUGAUCUUUACUUUAUUGCCACUUUUAAAGACACUCUGCUCAGUUUUUUUCCCCACGGCCCAGUGGAUAUUGAUGACUGCGUGGGUGGGUAAACAGGGGCACUGAAUCAAUGCAAGGAAUUCUCUUUGGACUAUCAAAGCAUGCCGCUCAGAUUCUUAGUAUAACCUUCUCCUCUCCUCCGCACUGGUGAAGAGAACUAUCCAACCAGGAGCUGUCCAUCUUGAAUGCAGCAGGCUUGAAUUUGUGCAAAGAAACAGGAUCGAAUUUGGACCAAUCAGCAGCCUCAAACCUGGACCAAUCAGCAGCCUUGGAUUUGGAUCAAUCUCAGAUGACUCUGCUCCCUCUGCUGCUCCAUAUAUUCAAAGCUCCCCUCCCUAGUCUGCGAGAGUUUUCCCUUGUGUACUGUGCACAGGCCUAGUCCAAGCAGAGCCUUGCUCUGGUUGUCUUGUAAUCUGCUCAUGAUUUCUUUCUUGGGUAGUGUACUCAGAAGGUCCUGUAAAUCUACUCAGUAGUGUGGGCAGAGUGGAUCGCUUUAAAAAAGAGCUAUAAACACUAGGGGUCCUGACCCUGAAGAGUUCAGAGACUCAUGGCAGAACUCAACAAAGAUUGGUGAGGAUCUGUGCCAGAGACCAGCAGUGACCACCACCAUGGACCAUGGGUAACUGGUGAUGGCAUCUAUGGCAGUGGAGACCAGCAGAUUCCAGCUAAUAAGGACUCUGGAUAACAGCCAAGAGUUGACUGAAGCUGCCAAGGAGCUAAUGGGGGUGGCAGAGAGCCCAAACACUGAGGUUUAAAGGUCUCUGACACAGCCUAGAGUCUCUAUGCUGCACUCUGCUGAUUCACAAUUUCCAUCCAAAUGGAGCAAAAGAACCCUGAGGACCACAGCAUCACCCCAGUGUCUGCCUCUGCUUUCCCUGUGUCCAGAUUCCCCUUGUGUUAUGGGGACACUUGUCAUGGACUGGGGCCCACCCUAAUCCAGAAUAACUUCAUCUUAACUCAUACAUCUGCAAAGAACCUGUUUCCAAGUAAGGUCAUAUUGACCAGAGGAAGGGAUUAAUUAAAUGCAUCUUUUGGGGGGACACAAGUUGACUCAACAGGUGCCGUAAGUCUUCGAACCUGGCUCCAUGGUGCUUGAUGUCACUUCUUCACCACUAGCCCCUGGACCAUGGUCUUCCUCUCCACCUUUCUCCUUCAUAAUUUCAGAGAUUUCAGCUCCCCCAACAGCCUAUGGGACCUCUUAACCCCUAUUUAUCACUGUGCAUCACCUGCCCAUCCAUGGACAUCUUCACAUCUGUGCCCAGCUCAGACGAUGAUGUCUCAUUAUACUGUCCUCUGCCAACCUCCUCCACUCCCUGCCCCUCCUUCUCUCUGCUGCCCUUGCCUGGAAGCACCUGACCCCACUGAGACAGUCUCACCACCUCCCCAUGCUCGCACCCACAGGUGAAUGAUAUGGGGAAAUCACCUGGCUAGGUUCACUUUGCAUUCAUG